rnacentral:rRNA from 1 species
GAAUAUUGGACAAUGGGGGGAACCCUGAUCCAGCCAUGCCGCGUGUGUGAAGAAGGCCUUUUGUUUGUACAGCACUUUCUGCGAGGAGGAGGCUACUUAGAUUAAUACUCUAGGAUCGUGGACGUUACUCGCACCAGACGCACUGCCUACCUCUCUGCCAGCCGCCGCGGUAAUACAGAGGGUGCAAGAGUGAAGAGGAUUGACUGGGCGUAAAGCGAGAGGAGGGGGAAAAUUAAGGAAAAUGUGAAAACCCCGAGCUUAACUUGGGAAUUGCAUUGGAUACUGGUUGGCUAGAGUAUGGGAGAGGAUGGUAGAAUUACAGGUGUAGCGGUGAAAUGCGUAGAGAUCUGGAGGAAGACCGAUGGCGAAGGCAGCCAUCUGGCCUAAUACUGACACUGAGGUGCGAAAGCAUGGGGAGCAAACA